GAGGGUAUAGCUCAGUGGUAGAGCACUUGCUUUGCACGCAUGAGGUCCUAGGUUCAAUCCCCAGUGCCUCCA
rnacentral:tRNA from 1 species